rnacentral:rRNA from 1 species
GACGGGACCGCACAAGCGGUGGAUGAUGUGGUUUAAUUCGAUGCAACGCGAAAACCUUACCCACCUUUGACAUGUACGGAACCCUUUAGAGAUAGAGGGGUGCUCGAAAGAGAGCCGUAACACAGGUGCUGCAUGGCUGUCGUCAGCUCGUGUCGUGAGAUGUUGGGUUAAGUCCCGCAACGAGCGCAACCCUUGUCAUUAGUUGCUACAUUCAGUUGGGCACUCUAGCGAGACUGCCGGUAAUAAAACCGGAGGAAGGUGGGGGAUGACGUCGAGUCCUCAUGGCCCUUAUAGGUGGGGCUACACACGUCAUACAAUGGAUGGUACAAAGGGUCGCCAACCCGCGAGGGGGAGCCAAUCCCAUAAAGCCAUUCGUAGUCCGGAUCGCAGUCUGCAACUCGACUGCGUGAAGUCGGAAUCGCUAGUAAUCGUGGAUCAGAAUGUCACGGUGAAUACGUUCCCGGGUCUU